rnacentral:rRNA from 1 species
GACGAGGGGUCCUAGCGUUGUUCGGAAUCACUGGGCGUAAAGCGUUUGUAGGCGGCUCUAUAAGUCGGGUGUGAAAUCCCAUGGCUCAACCAUGGAAGUGCAUUCGAAACUGCAGAGCUUGAAUAUGGAAGAGGAGAGUAGAAUACCUGGUGUAGUGGUGAAAUACGUAGAUAUCAGGUGGAAUACCGGUGGCGAAGGCGGCUCUCUGGUCCAAUAUUGACGCUGAGAAACGAAAGUGUGGGGAGCAAACAGG